rnacentral:lncRNA from 1 species
ACAGCUAUCUCUUUGAUACCUUAUUGCUUGUGAAAAAGAGAGGCAUAAGAUAAUGCAAAAGAGAAAAUGGUUGUUGUGGGUUUUUCGGGUUCUUUGGCCCUAGCAAAAGAGAAAACCUUACAGCAAUCUGAGGUCCUAGCAGAAUGCAGUGAUGGGUGGGGAAUGAGAGCAGAGAUGAAUUCGAAAUGGGGUUGCUGGAUGGGUCCAUAGCUUGAUCCGGUUUCUCUACCUUUGAAGACUCUGAAUUAAAGGCAAAUUCUACCAAAUCCAAGUUCUCCUUUCGCUACAGUGCUAAGAAGGGACAACUCAACCCAGGCAAAUGCGCCUCUCUUUGCCAUUUCUAGAAGCAACAGAAUCGACUCAGGAGCCAGAUUUAGCAACACUAAAAUGAAACAGGAGGGCACCCAGGAAGCUGGGGUGGGGGGGGAGGAGAUUAUAGGGCAAAAACUCGCAAGCAAAAGUAAAGUAAUGAGUUUUUUAAAAAAAAGAAGAAAGGGAUGCGUUUGCAGAUGGAAAAGCGGAAUGAAAACAGGGGCAAAUUAAUUUUUAAAAGAUGGAGGGAGGAGUGCAUGGAGCUGUGGAAAAGGGCGCCUGAUGCUCUGGAGCAACGAACUGCUGCUGAACUUGGGAGAAUUAGUCCCGUUUUAAAUGCAUGGCGCAGUCGGGCGUGGUUGAGAAGGGGAAGGGGAAGGGGAGGGGGGUUCCGUGAUUCCGCCAGAAAACGAGAAGGUGGCGUUUUCUUUACUGUUGACACUGCAUUUGGUGAAGGCGGACGAGAAGGGAAUGAGAUGCAUUUACGGUGCCGGGAGUUGAAGUUCGGGGUAGCUGCAUUCACAGGACGAAGUUUUGCGUGUCUACUCGGAAGUCUUCCACCACCACCCAGCUCCAGUUCAAGUGUGGCGGUAAGAUUACUGUACAGACCUACACGGAGUAGCAUUUAUGAAACGUGAUUUGUAAAAAUACAUUGAAGGGAAAUAUUGCAUUAAAUAAGUCAACAGCAAAACAUUCUUCCUCGUCCACGCAUUUUUUUUCUUCAAUAAAAAGAUGUCCCACGCGUCUUGGGAAAUGUGC